GACGAACGCUGGCGGCGUGCCUAAUACAUGCAAGUUGAGCGCUGAAGGUUGGUACUUGUACCAACUGGAUGAGCAGCGAACGGGUGAGUAACGCGUGGGGAAUCUGCCUUUGAGCGGGGGACAACAUUUGGAAACGAAUGCUAAUACCGCAUAAAAACUUUAAACACAAGUUUUAAGUUUGAAAGAUGCAAUUGCAUCACUCAAAGAUGAUCCCGCGUUGUAUUAGCUAGUUGGUGAGGUAAAGGCUCACCAAGGCGAUGAUACAUAGCCGACCUGAGAGGGUGAUCGGCCACAUUGGGACUGAGACACGGCCCAAACUCCUACGGGAGGCAGCAGUAGGGAAUCUUCGGCAAUGGACGAAAGUCUGACCGAGCAACGCCGCGUGAGUGAAGAAGGGUUUCGGAUCGUAAAAAUCGGUUGGUAGAGAAGAACGUUGGUGAGAGUGGAAAGCUCAUCAAGUGACGGUAACUACCCAGAAAGGGACGGCUAACUACGUG
rnacentral:rRNA from 1 species